rnacentral:rRNA from 1 species
CCUACGGGGGGCUGCAGUGGGGAAUAUUGGACAAUGGGCGAAAGCCUGAUCCAGCCAUGCCGCGUGUGUGAAGGAGGCCUUCGGGUUGUAAAGCACUUUCAGUGGGGAAGAAAGCCUUGGGGCUAAUACCCUCGAGGAAGGACAUCACCCACAGAAGAAGCACCGGCUAACUCCGUGCCAGCAGCCGCGGUAAUACGGAGGGUGCGAGCGUUAAUCGGAAUUACUGGGCGUAAAGCGCGCGUAGGCGGUCUGAUAAGCCGGUUGUGAAAGCCCCGGGCUCAACCUGGGAACGGCAUCCGGAACUGUCAGGCUAGAGUGCAGGAGAGGAAGGUAGAAUUCCCGGUGUAGCGGUGAAAUGCGUAGAGAUCGGGAGGAAUACCAGUGGCGAAGGCGGCCUUCUGGACUGACACUGACGCUGAGGUGCGAAAGCGUGGGUAGCAAACAGGAUUAGAUACCCGUGUAGUC